rnacentral:rRNA from 1 species
GACGAACGCUGGCGGCGUGCCUAAUACAUGCAAGUCGAGCGGACGAAUCGAAAGCUUGCUUUUGAUUCGUUAGCGGCGGACGGGUGAGUAACACGUGGGCAACCUGCCCUGUAGACGGGGAUAACACCGAGAAAUCGGUGCUAAUACCGGAUAACACGAAAUGUCGCAUGACGUUUCGUUGAAAGGCGGCGCAAGCUGUCGCUACAGGAUGGGCCUGCGGCGCAUUAGCUAGUUGGUGAGGUAACGGCUCACCAAGGCGACGAUGCGUAGCCGACCUGAGAGGGUGAUCGGCCACACUGGGACUGAGACACGGCCCAGACUCCUACGGGAGGCAGCAGUAGGGAAUCUUCCGCAAUGGACGAAAGUCUGACGGAGCAACGCCGCGUGAGCGAAGAAGGCCUUCGGGUCGUAAAGCUCUGUUGUUAGGGAAGAACAAGUAACGCAGUAACUGGCGUUACCGUGACGGUACCUAACGAGAAAGCCACGGCUAACUACGUG